CCUUCAUGAAGCCGGAAUUGCUAGUAAUGGCAGGUCAGCAUACUGCCGUGAAUACGUUCCCGGGCCUUGUACACACCGCCCGUCACACCAUGAGAGUUGGAGAUACCCGAAGCCUGUGAGCUAACAGAAAUGGAGCAGCAGUCGAAGGUAGAAUCAAUGAUUGGGGUGAAGUCGUAACAAGGUAUC
rnacentral:rRNA from 1 species